rnacentral:rRNA from 1 species
UCGUGUCGUGAGAUGUUGGGUUAAGUCCCGCAACGAGCGCAACCCUCACCCCUUGUUGCCACCAGGUCAUGCUGGGCACUCUAGAGGAACUGCCCCGGUCAACGGGGAGGAAGGCGGGGAUGACGUCAAGUCAUCAUGCCCCUUACGUCCUGGGCUACACACGUGCUACAAUGGCCGGUACAAAGGGAUGCAACGCCGCGAGGCAGAGCCAAACCCAAAAAGCCGGUCUAAGUUCAGAUUGGAGUCUGCAACUCGACUCCAUGAAGGAGGAAUCGCUAGUAAUCGC